rnacentral:rRNA from 1 species
UAAGUCCCGCAACGAGCGCAACCCUUAUCCUUUGUUGCCAGCGGUCCGGCCGGGAACUCAAAGGAGACUGCCAGUGAUAAACUGGAGGAAGGGGGGGAUGACGUCAAGUCAUCAUGGCCCUUACGACCAGGGCUACACACGUGCUACAAUGGCAUAUACAAAGAGAAGCGACCUCGCGAGAGCAAGCGGACCUCAUAAAGUAUGUCGUAGUCCGGAUUGGAGUCUGCAACUCGACUCCAUGAAGUCGGAAUCGCUAGUAAUCGUAGAUCAGAAUGCUACGGUGAAUACGUUCCCGGGCCUUGUACACACCGCCCGUCACACCAUGGGAGUGGGUUGCAAAAGAAGUAGGUAGCUUAACCUUCGGGAGGGCGCUUACCACUUUGUGAUUCAUGACUGGGGUGAAGUCGUAACAAGGUAACCGUAGGGGAACCUGCGGUUGGAUCACCUCCUUACCUUAAAGAA